rnacentral:rRNA from 1 species
AUUGAACGCUGGCGGCAGGCCUAACACAUGCAAGUCGAACGGUAGCACAGAGAGCUUGCUCUCGGGUGACGAGUGGCGGACGGGUGAGUAAUGUCUGGGAAACUGCCUGAUGGAGGGGGAUAACUACUGGAAACGGUAGCUAAUACCGCAUAACGUCGCAAGACCAAAGAGGGGGACCUUCGGGCCUCUUGCCAUCAGAUGUGCCCAGAUGGGAUUAGCUAGUAGGUGGGGUAACGGCUCACCUAGGCGACGAUCCCUAGCUGGUCUGAGAGGAUAACCAGCCACACUGGAACUGAGACACGGUCCAGAAUCCUACGGGAGGCAGCAGUGGGGAAUAUUGCACAAUGGGCGCAAGCCUGAUGCAGCCAUGCCGCGUGUAUGAAGAAGGCCUUCGGGUUGUAAAGUACUUUCAGCGGGGAGGAAGGCGAUAAGGUUAAUAACCUUGUCGAUUGACGUUACCCGCAGAAGGAGCACCGGCUAACUCCGUGCCAGCAGCCGCCGUAA